CACACCUACGGACCGGGGCCUCCAUGCCCCUCCUUUUGACGUGUUCGAACCAUCUCAAUCGUGCUUCCCGCAUCUUACACUCCACUGAAGUCACACCAACCUUCUCCCGGAUAGUCUCAUUCCGAACUCUAUCCCCUCGGGUCAGUCCACACAUCCAGCGCAACAUCCGCAUUUCUGCCACCUUCAUUUUUUGGAUGUGGGAGUUCUUAACUGGCCAACACUCCGCUCCAUACAGCAAGGCCGGACGGACUACCACCCUAUAGAAUUUGCCUUUAAGCUUGGGCGGCACCUUCUUAUCACACAGCACCCCC
rnacentral:lncRNA from 1 species